CAUUAAGUACCCCCGCCUGGGGAGUACGGCCGCAAGGCUAAAACUCAAAGGAAUUGACGGGGCCCCGCACAAGCGGCGGAGCAUGCGGAUUAAUUCGAUGCAACGCGAAGAACCUUACCUGGGUUUGACAUAUACCGGAAACGUCUAGAGAUAGGCGCCCCGCAAGGUCGGUAUACAGGUGGUGCAUGGCUGUCGUCAGCUCGUGUCGUGAGAUGUUGGGUUAAGUCCCGCAACGAGCGCAACCCUCGUCCAAUGUUGCCAGCGGAUAAUGCCGGGGACUCAUUGGAGACCGCCGGGGUCAACUCGGAGGAAGGUGGGGAUGACGUCAAGUCAUCAUGCCCCUUAUGUCCAGGGCUUCACGCAUGCUACAAUGGCCGGUACAAAGAGCUGCAAACCUGCAAGGGUGAGCGAAUCUCAAAAAGCCGGUCUCAGUUCGGAUUGGGGUCUGCAACUCGACCCCAUGAAGUCGGAGUCGCUAGUAAUCGCAGAUCAGCAACGCUGCGGUGAAUACGUUCCCGGGGCUUGUACACACCGCCCGUCAAGUCAUGAAAGUCGGUAACACCCGAAGCCGGUGGCCCAACCUUUUUGGAGGGAGCCGUCGAAGGUGGGACUGGUAAUUAGGACUAAGUCGUAACAAGGUAGCC
rnacentral:rRNA from 1 species